CCUACGGGAGGCUGUAGUGGGGAAUAUUGGACAAUGGGCGAAAGCCUGAUCCAGCCAUGCCGCGUGUGUGAAGAAGGCCUUCGGGUUGUAAAGCACUUUCAGUGGGGAAGAAAGCCUUGGGGCUAAUACCCUCGAGGAAGGACAUCACCCACAGAAGAAGCACCGGCUAACUCCGUGCCAGCAGCCGCGGUAAUACGGAGGGUGCGAGCGUUAAUCGGAAUUACUGGGCGUAAAGCGCGCGUAGGCGGUCUGAUAAGCCGGUUGUGAAAGCCCCGGGCUCAACCUGGGAACGGCAUCCGGAACUGGCAGGCUAGAGUGCAGGAGAGGAAGGUAGAAUUCCCGGUGUAGCGGUGAAAUGCGUAGAGAUCGGGAGGAAUACCAGUGGCGAAGGCAGUCUUCUGGACUGACACUGACGCUGAGGUGCGAAAGCGUGGGUAGCAAACAGGAUUAGAUACCCUAGUAGUC
rnacentral:rRNA from 1 species